AGAGUUUGAUCCUGGCACAGAGCGAACGCUGGCGGCUUGCUUAACACAUGCAAGUCGCACGGUUUGGGGCUUCGGCUCCAGGCAGUGGCGGACGGGUGAGUAAUGCGCAGGUAUCUAUCCUUGGGUGGGGGACAACCGCGGGAAACUGCGGCUAAUACCGCAUGACGACUAUGGUCCAAAGGCCGAAAGGUCGCCUGAGGAGGAGCCUGCGUCCGAUUAGCUAGUUGGUGGGGUAAGAGCUUACCAAGGCGAUGAUCGGUAGCUGGUCUGAGAGGAUGAUCAGCCACACUGGGACUGAGACACGGCCCAGACUCCUACGGGAGGCAGCAGUGGGGAAUAUUGGACAAUGGGCGCAAGCCUGAUCCAGCGAUGCCGCGUGUGUGAAGAAGGUCUUCGGAUUGUAAAGCACUUUCGGCGGGGACGAUGAUGACGGUACCCGCAGAAGAAGCCCCGGCUAACUUCGUGCCAGCAGCCGCGGUAAUACGAAGGGGGCUAGCGUUGCUCGGAAUGACUGGGCGUAAAGGGCGCGUAGGCGGUUUGAACAGUUGGGCGUGAAAUUCCAGGGCUUAACCUUGGGACUGCGUUCAAUACGUUUGGACUUGAGUUCGGAAGAGGGUCGUGGAAUUCCCAGUGUAGAGGUGAAAUUCGUAGAUAUUGGGAAGAACACCGGUGGCGAAGGCGGCGACCUGGACCGAAACUGACGCUGAGGCGCGAAAGCGUGGGGAGCA
rnacentral:rRNA from 1 species